CCUACGGGGGGCUGCAGUAGGGAAUAUUGCGCAAUGGACGGAAGUCUGACGCAGCGACGCCGCGUGAGCGAUGAAGGUCUUCGGAUCGUAAGGCUCUGUCCUUGGGGAAGAAGGCGAAAGCUUGACGGUACCCAAGAAGAAAGCCCCGGCUAACUACGUGCCAGCAGCCGCGGUAAUACGUAGGUGGCAAGCGUUGUCCGGAAUUACUGGGUGUAAAGGGCGUGUAGGCGGGAAGGCAAGUCAGAUGUGAAAGCCCAUGGCUUAACUGUGGAAUUGCAUCUGAAACUGUUUUUCUUGAGUGCUGGAGAGGAAAGUGGAAUUCCUAGUGUAGCGGUGAAAUGCGUAGAGAUUAGGAGGAACACCAGUGGCGAAGGCGGCUUUCUGGACAGUAACUGACGCUGAGGCGCGAAAGCGUGGGGAGCAAACAGGAUUAGAUACCCGAGUAGUC
rnacentral:rRNA from 1 species